AGGCACCGUGCGGGCUGCCUUUGGAAUUGGACGUGCAGUUGUGGUGCCACAAGCGAUGAUGGCCGCAGCGUACGACUCUGGAACGAGCAGAUGACGAAGAGGAACAUGGUGACUGUAGGAACCUCCCAGUUAGCUGAUAUGGGUGUGGC